GCUUCGCUGCUCGGUGCUCGCUCGCGGCCGGGCGGAUCCCGCAGCAGCGCGUUUUGUCCGUGCAGCUUGGCUUCAGCGCACCCCGGCAGACUGGCAAAAGGGAAUUCACUGGUGCUUGGAGGGCUUGCUGCAAACUGUUUUCAACUCUCCUCAUUCAAUCCACCAGCAGCCAGAGGCCUAUGAAGCUCUGUCAUUUCAUGAGGUUCAGUCACACAUACCUGAAGCCAUAUAUACCUCUCAAACCAGGGCAAUGAUUGGUUGGUGUAAUAUCUCUUGUUCAGCUAUGAACGGUUAUAUGAACUACAAUAUGGGUAAGGUUUAAAAACAGAGCAAAUCACAUUACCCAGGAAUGCUACAAAUCUGGAAUCCAGUCAACUCCACCUUUUCAUCUGACUGCUGUAUUAUAAAGAAAAACAUUUUACAUAUAGCAUACUGUAUAUGUAGCAUGUCUUUGUUUAACAUUUUAAUUUGUAAAUGCUAAUUAGGCAGUUGCUCUCCACGAUUAUAGUAUUACACACCUAAGCAUUCUCGAAUAUAAGUAGAUGAAUACUAAAUACAGUAAAUAGCCACUUUGUAUUUCCCAAUACCUCAGCAAUGUUCUUCAUUUUGCAAAUAAGUCUUUGCGGACAAAAUAAUUUAAAAAAAAAAAACCUCUUUGUAGCUUUGUUUUAAUUGUCCUGGUACUUAAGGCAUAAACGUGGCGAUCACAUCCAAAUAAUAUCUUUAACAGCCAGCAUGGAAAGUAACUAUCAAAUUAACUUGUUGCUCGUUUUAAGUGAUCGUGCUUUCUAUUUGCUUUUAUUCGCUUCGAUGUAUACAGACAGUAACUUAUACAGGAAUAAGACUGUCGGAGUUGACCUACUAGGAUUGUUUUCUUGGACUAUAAAUGCAAGUUGCAUUUGAGGUGGAAAAAAGACAAAGCACGAACUGCACAAAAAUGCAAUAUUUUCAAAUAUGGGAUAUUAACCAUCACUGGCCUCUCUAAACUCAAAAUCCCAUGGUCAUAUGUCCAAAAACUGUUUGGUAAACAAUGGUAAAUCCAAGAUUAUGUGGUGACGCUUGUGAAUAAAAUUGCACUCUAGAUAUGUACCCUAAUAGUUUGGGAAAUAGUCAUUGCUUUCUUUGGCAAAUGCGGCAAGGUUGGAAGUUUUAGUCAUGUAAAUAUCUCAAUGCAUCUUCAGUCAUGUUCAAUACACGGCAAGGCUUAACUCAGUUGUAAAAGUGAAGGCGUGUGAACAAUUUGCACAUGGAAAAAAGAGAAAUGUCUUAUUUUUUCAUUGUUUCUCUUGCUGUUUACUUCUCUCUAUUAUGUUUUUGAACAGUGACUUAGCUUUCCACCAGAUUUAUUGGCAAUACUAUUUCCAGGAUUUAAUUGGUCUUUAUAUUGUAAAAACAAAGACUAAAACUUGCACAGUCACACUGAAACUGACGAAGUUCUAGUUGGAGAGAACAACCUGUCUUUACGGCCUGGCAUAGUUUGUUAUGGUUAUGCAUCAAACGUGCGCCUGCCCCACCAGCCUCCCUGGCACUUCCACUUUUACAGGUGUUUAGCUCGUGCUAAAGGAAUGUUAACUUGCUGGUGUGCAUAUAGAUAUACAGAUAGACCUUCAUAAUAAUAAACAUAUGUACUUAUCAAUAAAAUCACAGAAGCUGAAUUGCUGACUUAUGUGUCCGAUGUAGCCACCUAGAAAAAUAGCUAACGGGAAUGGGCUCCUUAAGCAAUAUGUUAAGACUAUGUACAAUAUGUUUGCAAAACGACAGAAAAUCUGAGCAGACACAGAAGUUAAGAUUGUUUUAUGUCUGUAAAUAGCUGGAACUUCUUGUGUACUUUUUGCAUGUGUUUAGUGCUACGGACUUCAGAUGAUCUAGAUUGUUAACAUAAUGUUAUUUUAUAGCUACAUUCGAGAUAGUGAAGUACAGUAAUUGACAGAGCGUGAGUGGCUACUUUAUUGGAAAUAUUGCAGAUACUUCUGAAGGUUUAAAAUGACAAUUAAAUAUUAAAUUAUGUAAAGACA